rnacentral:rRNA from 1 species
GACAGAGGUGCCGAGCGUUAGGCGGAAUCACUGGGCUUAAAGCGUGUGUAGGCGGACCCGUCAGUGUCUUGUGAAAUCCCACGGCUCAACCGUGGAACGGCUGGGCAUACUGCGGGUCUUGAGACACCUAGGGGCGAGCGGAACAGGCGGUGGAGCGGUGAAAUGCGUAGAUAUCGCCUGGAACGCCGACGGUGAGAACAGCUCGCUGGGGGUGUUCUGACGCUGAGACACGAAAGCCAGGGGAGCGAACGGG